rnacentral:rRNA from 1 species
UCGGGAAUUUUGGGCAAUGGGCGCAAGCCUGAUCCAGCCAUGCCGCGUGGAUGAUGAAGGCCUUAGGGUUGUAAAACUCUUUCGUCGGGGACGAUAAUGACGGUACCCGAAGAAGAAGCUCCGGCUAACUUCGUGCCAGCAGCCGCGGUAAUACGAAGGGAGCUAGCGUUGUUCGGAAUCACUGGGCGUAAAGCGCACGUAGGCGGAUAGUUAAGUCAGGGGUGAAAUCCUGGGGCUCAACCCCAGAACUGCCUUUGAUACUGGCUGUCUCGAGGUCGAGAGAGGUUGGUGGAAUUCCUAGUGUAGAGGUGAAAUUCGUAGAUAUUAGGAAGAACACCAGUGGCGAAGGCGGCCAACUGGCUCGAUACUGACGCUGAGGUGCGAAAGCGUGGGGAGCAAACAGGAUUAGAUACCCCUGUAGUCCCUGAGCGGGCUGGCAAGGCGCAU